GUGGGGAAUAUUGGACAAUGGGGGGAACCCUGAUCCAGCCAUGCCGCGUGUGUGAAGAAGGCCUUUUGGUUGUAAAGCACUUUAAGCGAGGAGGAGGCUACCGAGAUUAUUACUCUUGGAUAGUGGACGUUACUCGCAGAAUAAGCACCGGCUAACUCUGUGCCAGCAGCCGCGGUAAUACAGAGGGUGCAAGCGUUAAUCGGAUUUACUGGGCGUAAAGCGCGCGUAGGUGGCCAAUUAAGUCAAAUGUGAAAUCCCCGAGCUUAACUUGGGAAUUGCAUUCGAUACUGGUUGGCUAGAGUAUGGGAGAGGAUGGUAGAAUUCCAGGUGUAGCGGUGAAAUGCGUAGAGAUCUGGAGGAAUACCGAUGGCGAAGGCAGCCAUCUGGCCUAAUACUGACACUGAGGUGCGAAAGCAUGGGGAGCAAACAGGAUUAGAUACCCCUGUAGUCC
rnacentral:rRNA from 1 species